rnacentral:rRNA from 1 species
GAACUCUGGUAUUGAUUGGUGCUUGCAUCAUGAUUUACAUUUGAGUGAGUGGCGAACUGGUGAGUAACACGUGGGAAACCUGCCCAGAAGCGGGGGAUAACACCUGGAAACAGAUGCUAAUACCGCAUAACAACUUGGACCGCAUGGUCCGAGCUUGAAAGAUGGCUUCGGCUAUCACUUUUGGAUGGUCCCGCGGCGUAUUAGCUAGAUGGUGAGGUAACGGCUCACCAUGGCAAUGAUACGUAGCCGACCUGAGAGGGUAAUCGGCCACAUUGGGACUGAGACACGGCCCAAACUCCUACGGGAGGCAGCAGUAGGGAAUCUUCCACAAUGGACGAAAGUCUGAUGGAGCAACGCCGCGUGAGUGAAGAAGGGUUUCGGCUCGUAAAACUCUGUUGUUAAAGAAGAACAUAUCUGAGAGUAACUGUUCAGGUAUUGACGGUAUUUAACCAGAAAGCCACGGCUAACUACGUGCCAGCAGCCGCGGUAAUACGUAGGUGGCAAGCGUUGUCCGGAUUUAUUGGGCGUAAAGCGAGCGCAGGCGGUUUUUUAAGUCUGAUGUGAAAGCCUUCGGCUCAACCGAAGAAGUGCAUCGGAAACUGGGAAACUUGAGUGCAGAAGAGGACAGUGGAACUCCAUGUGUAGCGGUGAAAUGCGUAGAUAUAUGGAAGAACACCAGUGGCGAAGGCGGCUGUCUGGUCUGUAACUGACGCUGAGGCUCGAAAG